ensembl:lncRNA
CCUCACAACCACAGAGGAACCAAUAACCUCCCCUCCUCUGACAACAAACCUCACAACCACAGAGGAACCAACAAACUCUCCUCCUCUAACAACAAACCUCACAACCACAGGGGAACCAACCUCUCCUCCUUUGACAAUACAACUCACGACCACACAGAUUUCACCUGCACUUCCAAAUACCACCCAAACAACUACUGAACUCACAACCACACCCACAAAUGUCAGUACGUACGCUCCCACAACUACCACAACUACCACAACCACCACAGCAUCCACAACUUUAAGUACACACCCAACCACCAAUCUCACAACCCAUAUUGGUGACGGUACAACAACGAGCAGUGGGUCUAGAUACGUUGUUGUACUGAGGAUAAAACUGUCCUCUCUGAUCCCACUAACAGAUGACUACAUCAGAAAUGUGGUUUUACAGCAGCUCCGUGAGGAACUGAUCAGACAAGGGCUGCCAGGGGACUUCGCGCUACGCCUGAGAGCCACUCAUGGGAUCAGUUCCUGAGGGAGGAACAGGAAUUCAGAUCAACAUUCUUCACUCCUACUUGUCUUGUCUUCCUGGUUCUGAUUCUGCAGAAAGUUCUUCUGAAGAAGAAGUGGUUCCUUAUAAUGACAGAAUAUGGUUGAUUUGUACUAAUCUCUUGGGACAGACGCACGUAACAUGAAUUAUGAUUUUUGUUCUGGAUUGCCAGGAUUAGUUGAAUGGACUGACAGUGCUUCUGACUGGAUGUUAGUUGAAUGACUAACAUGACUGGGGUUCUUUACUGUUUGGUAACAUACAGAGGUAGACUGGGGUUCUUUCCUGUUUGGUAAUGUACAGAGGUAGACUGGGGUUCUUUCCUGUUUGGUAACGUACAGAGGUAGACUGGGGUUCUUUCCUGUUUGGUAAUGUACAGAGGUAGACUGGGGUUCUUUCCUGUUUGGUAAUGUACAGAGGUAGACUGAGGUUCUUUCCUGUUUGGUAAUGUACAGAGGUAGACUGGGGUUCUUUCCUGUUUGGUAAUGUACAGAGGUAGACUGAGGUUAUUUUCUGUUUGGUAAUGUACAGAGGUAGACUGAGGGUCUUUACUGUGUCAAGAAUGGUUGGUUGAGGCUCAGUUUUCUGUGACAUUUUAGUGACAGAGGACACCGGUAGGGAGGACCCACUUGUAAACACCCACACACACUCAGG